rnacentral:rRNA from 1 species
CAGCCGUAAACUAUGCUCGCUAGGUGUCAGGCAUGGCGCGACCGUGUCUGGUGCCGCAGGGAAGCCGUGAAGCGAGCCACCUGGGAAGUACGGCCGCAAGGCUGAAACUUAAAGGAUUGGCGGGGGAGCACCACAACGGGUGGAGCCUGCGGUUUAAUUGGACUCAACGCCGGGAAGCUCACCGGAUAGGACAGCAGAAUGAUUGCCGGGCUGAAGACCCUGCAUGACUAGCUGAGAGGAGGUGCAUGGCGUAGACGUCU